rnacentral:rRNA from 1 species
GCAGCCACCUUUUUAAAAGCGUUAAAGCUUAGCCUUAAAUUCUCCAAAGAUACCAUAAAACUCAAUGAACCCUUAAUUCAUAAUGAAUGACUCCAUAUAAUUAUGGAAGACACCAUGCUGGGAUUAGUAACAAGAAUUAAUAAUUCUCCAAAAUGCAAACAUAAACCAAUACGGAUAAACCAUUGGUAAUUACCGCACUUGAACUUACUGCAACAACACCUACAAGAAAACCCUGCAGUAUUCACUCGUUAACCUGACACCAGAGCAUUUAAGGAAAGAUUUAAAGAAAGAGAAGGAAUUCGGCAAAUAACGACCCCGCCUGUUUACCAAAAACAUCGCCUCUUGAUUCAUGAUAAGAGGUCUAGCCUGCCCAGUGAAUUUUUAACGGCCGCGGUAUCCUGACCACGCGAAGGUAGCAUAAUCACUUGUUCUUUAAAUGGGGACUUGUAUCAACGGCAUCACGAGGGUUUUACUGUCUCCUCUUUCUAAUCAGUGAAAUUGAUCUUCCCGUGAAGAAGCGGGAAUUCCCAUAUAAGACGAGAAGACCCCAUGGAGCUUUAAACCAAAUAGCAACUUAACCACAUAUCCCCUAAUAAUUUUAAGCUCAUGCCGUAAGGUUUUUGGUUGGGGUGACCGCGGAGUAAAACAUAUCCUCCACGACGGAAAGACCACAAUCUUUAUUUAAGAGCGACAGUUCUAAAAAUUAGCACACUAACGUUUACUGACCCGAUAUUCGAUCAACGGAACAAGUUACCCUGGGGAUAACAGCGCAAUCUACUUUGAGAGCUCAUAUCGACAAGUAGGCUUACGACCUCGAUGUUGGAUCAGGGUAUCCUAGUGGUGCAGCCGCUACUGAGGGUUCGUUUGUUCAACGAUUAAAACCCUACGUGAUCU